rnacentral:rRNA from 1 species
AUUGAACGCUGGCGGCAUGCCUUACGCAUGCAAGUCGAACGGCAGCGCGGGGCAACCUGGCGGCGAGUGGCGAACGGGUGAGUAAUAUAUCGGAACAUACCCUAGAGUGGGGGAUAACGUAGCGAAAGUUACGCUAAUACCGCAUACGCACUAAGGUGGAAAGUGGGGGAUCUUCGGACCUCAUGCUCAUGGAGUGGCCGAUAUCUGAUUAGCUAGUUGGUGAGGUAAAGGCUCACCAAGGCGACGAUCAGUAGCUGGUUUGAGAGAACGACCAGCCACACUGGAACUGAGACACGGUCCAGACUCCUACGGGAGGCAGCAGUGGGGAAUAUUGGACAAUGGGGGCGAACCCUGAUCCAGCCAUGCCGCGUGUGUGAAGAAGGCCCUAGGGUUGUAAAGCACUUUCAGUGGGGAGAAAGGUUAUUCACCUAAUACGUGAGUAG